rnacentral:rRNA from 1 species
UACGUAGGGCGCAAGCGUUAUCCGGAAUUAUUGGGCGUAAAGAGCUCGUAGGCGGUUUGUCGCGUCUGCCGUGAAAGUCCGGGGCUCAACUCCGGAUCUGCGGUGGGUACGGGCAGACUAGAGUGCGGUAGGGGAGACUGGAAUUCCUAGUGUAGCGGUGAAAUGCGCAGAUAUUAGGAAGAACACCGGUGGCGAAGGCGGCUCUCUGGAACGGUACUGACGCUGAGACGCGAAAGCGUGGGGAGCGAACAGG